rnacentral:sRNA from 1 species
AGUUCAAGCUGCAGCCUUUGCUGAUGACGGUCAGGAGGCCAACUGCGCCUGGGGAGCAGCGGGAUCCGGGGAUGGGGCUGCCCUGUGUGCUCACCCGCCUGACCUGCCCCAGGCCUCCUCCUGUCCCCACCCUGCCUAAUGCUCUAGAGUCCCCCUGGGCUGGCCUCAGGAUUGCAAGCAGUGCGAGGGCCUGGUCUCGGCCCUGGUCUCAGCCCUAUCCAGAUGUCCAAGGCAGGUGGACCACCCGCUGAGCAUCAGAAAUGGGUUGCCUCCAGGGACUCCAGAUUUUCCUGUUUGCUCUUGGCCUUCUGCCCACCCACCCCACUGCCAUGGGCCCAAAGCAGCCGGGUUCCCUGGAGAUCCUGUCUUCCACCUAGUGCAGGGCAUGAGGCCGGGGCCAGGACAGCCGGACCAGGCCCUGGGGCUUCUGAGAGCCGACUCACCUUGCAGGGAGUCCCACCACCACCUUCUGGGGCCCCACACAGUCCCAUGCUGGAACACAUCCCUGUGUGUAAUUUUUUUUAUUUCAUGCAGCAUUAAUUUAAAAAAUAAAGAUAGCAUGUCACUUGCAAA